rnacentral:rRNA from 1 species
UACAGAGGGGGCAAGCGUUGUUCGGAAUUACUGGGCGUAAAGGGCGCGUAGGCGGCCUUCUAAGUCGAACGUGAAAUCCCCGGGCUCAACCCGGGAACUGCGUCCGAUACUGGCAGGCUUGAAUUCGGGAGAGGGAGGCGGAAUUCCAGGUGUAGCGGUGAAAUGCGUAGAUAUCUGGAGGAACACCGGUGGCGAAGGCGGCAACCUGGACCGAGAUUGACGCUGAGGCGCGAAAGCCAGGGGAGCAAACGGG